rnacentral:lncRNA from 1 species
CACUUGCUGUGUGACGCCUGUUGAAGAGGGGUUCUCGUGCCUUUUUGAAUACCUUUGUAGUGAGGAGCCGGCUGCCUCCCCACCUCUUCUCACUUCUGCUGUUUUGUGAUCUUGCCGUUUUAAUGAGAGCACAGUCAAUAACUAUGGAGAGGUGCUGACGACAUUACAAAGGAACUCACCCUUAACAAGUCAACUGUAGACGAGGUGCCAACGGGAUGGACAAGAGG